GUGCUUCAUUUUGGGGGCUUUCUGCCUGACAAGGGUGGUUGGCAGGAGCUUCUGAACUGCUCAAAGGUUAUGGAUGCCUCUGGAGAAUGCCGUCUUAGAAUAACGUUUACGGUCACUAACCCAGGUUUCAGCAUUCAGAGCUGCUGGAGUGUGACAUAUUCCACGAUUCCUCCCAGCCCGGCCAGUGAAAGCACUUCUCUGCUCUGGAGCGAGCCCCACGACCCGGCGCUUCCCUCGAACAAAGAGCUGGAGACAGACGGCGCCUGCAGGACUCAUCCUAAUGGGAGCCGAUUUCAGGAGAAAGCCUAGGCUGUGAUUUCAAGAUCUUCGGUGUUGGUUUAAAUGAGCUCUGUGAGUCCCAAGGAGGAGACUGUUUCUGGGUCUGAGCUCCUGUAUGUAUUUGGUUUAGCCCUGUUCUACCCCGUUAUUCCCACAAGACCCUUCUCAAAAUCUGGGCAGUUUAGCAUUCGUUUCUGCAGCCGAAGAGAGCUCCUUUCAUAGUGGAAUCCAUCGGAGAGGCAGCAGGAAGAGAGCUCCUCUGGCACUUCUGAAGCUCCCUGAACUCUUUGUUACCCGAUCUUCUCCAUACAUCCACCAACAGCAUGUCCUGUCUCAAUUAUGCCAUCUCUUUCUUGCUCUGAGGAAUCAGGAAGCACUUGCCAAUCCAGCAUUUUUGUAAGAGCUUGUGAGGCUCUUCUCACAGUUCCUCUGAUGAGUACUGUGAUGCUGACAGACUGCACUAAUGUAGAAGCAGAACAAGGGAACUAUGACCUGACUGAAUCUUUUAAGGACUCUAUGAAUACAGAAAAGGCUGGUCCCUAUCCAAGGGAAUUCUGUAUCCUUAAGUAGGAGUUAUUGGAGAACUGGUGGGAAGGAGGUCAUUCUUCACCCCUAGUCUUAAAUACCAAAGUAUUGUGAGUCCUGUGGAGACAACGGGAUGAAGGAGCAGAGGAACGUUACAGGAUGCAGAAAAAGAGGAAGGGAUGGGUGGAUGUUUUAUUAUUACUAGAAAUAAAGUUUAUAUGUAGAUGAUUCAUCAGCCUUUUUACACAAAUGAUUGCCAUUAUUUAAUCACUAGGGAAUAAGAACUAUUUAGUGCCUUGUUCAAGAUUAAAUGCAAGUCCAAGGCUAAACUGGGAACUAAGAUUUUACAACUGUUUGGUGUCCCACAAAGAAUAUUUCACAUAAAGUUAGAUCUUGUACUGCUUUAUUCUCAUACUUCUGCUUGACAUCAGUUUGGGUUCUUUAAAUUAGGAUUAAAAACAACGACCACCAACAAACCUUUGUAGAAUCUAUUACCACUGUCAAUCUGAUUAAAACGUAUUUUUAUAGUGUAUUUUAGUGUAGUCAUGUUGGACUGAGAAAUGGCUGUAGAUUUAUGUAACCAUAUGUGGUUGAUGCUCCAAAUAUGACUCAAUUUGUAGUAAGGGGAUAAUAUUAAGCCCUGAAGUCUUCCUAAAUAACCCAGCUGGGCCCUGUUACAGCUGCAGUGAGGGAAUGGCAUAGGAACCUUGUCAACCUUGCUGCAGGAGCUGUUGAAGUCCUGUGGCUCAAAUUGACCUCUUACAGGUGUCCUGAGUCUGGUAGGUGAGGAACAGGAGCUGUGUGCCCUACUCAGUGCACCAACUUGCAAAAACUCCUCUUACCGAGUCCAGGCAAAGUUGCAGGGUUUCUGAAGCUAGCGUAGUCGUAACCUGCAGACCCAGACGAUGUGCCUGGGCAACGGCAGCUCCAGGCAGCACAUUUCCUGCAAUGUGCUGUAAGCUGUUUUUCCCUAGAGGAGCACUAAUUGCCUGGCUGGAUUUAUCACAUGGAAGGAUGCACGUGCUGGAAAGGCAAGGGGCCAGCCGGUGGUAAAUGCUGCCCCCAUGAGCUUUGCUGCCGCUUCCAGAGGUGUAAGGGUCCCAAGUCUGGCUGCUUUGUCCCAGUGGAGAGCUUUCUCUUUGCACUGCCUGGGGUAUUCGCCUGGCUCCCCCGGACCUGGGACCUGCCCUUUAAGCAAAGAUCAGGUGUUAGUAGGGCAUCUGGCUUGGAAACCAGAUACCCUCAAAGAAAGCUUUGCUCUUCCUUGCUUUUUGUGCUAGCCAGAGAAGCUGUGGGGACUCAGAGGACAUGAGGCUGAGCCAGGUUUGUAAUAUUUUAUGCGCUAUUUGCUCUGCUCGCUUAUUUUUCCAUGGUUGCCCAACAGUUUGAUGGCAAGUGCUGCAUGUCCUCUCCCAAGAAUUCGUUGUGGACAGUUGGGCUUCUUUGGCACUUCCUACCAGUAAGGAAAAGUCCCCGCACUGACCUGCUGGUCAGUUCACUCAGUUUUUUGCUUUGGGCACAUUGAUCAUCUACAUUGCUAGGCUUUUCUCAGGAAAAAGAUUAAUUUCUUUUCUCUAUUUGCUUUGUACUCUGAGUUAAGAAGUGGACACUUUAAUUCGUGUCAUUCUGAAAGGCAAUUCAAACAUUUCCUUUAACAAUAAAACAAUUAUAUCUGUCUUGUUUAAACAUCUGGAGUAUUAACAGCAUUAGAAAAUAAAUUACACUAGUACUCACUGCAGCGUAAAAGUUAAACGGCUGUAAUGCCUACUGGUAUUUUUUUUAAACAAAUAUUAGAGGAAUCAGUGUCCCUGAACCGGAACUCCAGCUGAUGUCAGAAAUGGAUUGCAGUGUUUAACAAGGGAACCUGAUGUCUCUGCUGCUUUCUUCAGUCCCUAAUCCAUGCAUUUCAAAAAAGAUUCUCUACCAUAAAUAGUGAGUUUAACAAUGUAAGAAAUGAUAAUCCACUUAGCCCAGUUCUUUCAUUCCUCUAAAUGCAGAAGCAUUACUAAAACAUGCGUAAGCAAAAUAAAGUUGAAUGCAUAGUCUAUAAUAGAAUAAGUCUUAAAAAAGCUUUCUUUUCCUAAGUAUUUUCUUACUGAUGUUAAAAAUACAUAGUUCCAUCCCUUUGCAGUGAGCAGUAAAUACUUUGGUUGCAAAUAUCAUCUGCUUAUUAAGUUCCAGAAUAUUGCACAGAUAAAAGCUGAAUGAAACUUUCCAUUCAAUUUUAAAUAGAGGAUGCACAGAAUAUAAUAAGCUUUUAAAAAUAUAUAUUUCAGUAACUUUUCUCUCAGGUUUAUAGAUUCUCUAACUUCUUACCUGAUGAAAAAUUCAAGUCAUAUCCACACUGUCUUUAACAAAAUUUCUUUUCCCUUUUCGAGUUGAUUACAAAGCCAGCAAACGCAUUUCCUUUGUGUAUGAAAGGAUCCAAAGCAGAGCCAUCUGCUGCUAAAGCUAUACUUAAACUCUCCUUUCUUCUUUUUCUGAAACAAGCCACAGUUCCGCUAUUUCCAACUGUGCUUGAAUCCGCCAGGCUGCAGAAGGGCUGCUGAGGAAUAAAACAAGCUCUGGAAUCCAAGAAGAGGCAAACAGCACUGAGCAGGGAGGAGAAAAGCCCAGUAGUCAUGGGGAUGGUUUUUCCUCCACUGUGCUGCUUCCCUCCGCCCUGUCAAACACCUUAUCUUGCAAUUUCAUUUUCAAUUAUCUUAUCUGCUCUGUAGUGCAAAUGUUUUCCCUACAAUGGAUUUCAUACAUAAACAUUUGCAGAGGGCUUAUUGCUUUUUUAGCUGACAGAGAUAUGAAAAUACAGUAAGCUUCUUAGAGCAUGCACGUCCUAUUAAGUGUAUCGUUUGCUCUAUUGCAGUUAAGUUCAUCAUAUUUUUAACUCUAAAUUCCUAUUUUAAAUUUUACUCCAGUUGUAAAAAUCUUCCUGAAAAGCAAAGCCUGACACAUUGCACUGGGACGUGUUGAAAAAGGGAUUUAUUAUUCUUACUCUUUUUCCAGUAAAAGUCCAUACUUUGUACAGUCACUUGCUCACAAAUAUUAGCAUUCAGCAUUUGCCUAGUAAAUGUUUAGUGUGGAUGUUUAUGGAACAGGAAAUGAACCAGUCUUUCUUGGGACGUGGUAUUUGGUGUAUUGAUUUUGCACUCUUCAAUUCCUGCCUGGGUCCACUUAGCCCCCAGUAUCCCGGUCUCUUACGCUGACCUAGCCUGGGGCUCUCCAGAGCUAGAAAAAGCAGAGGCAAUAGGAAAUGGGCCAGAGUUUGUGUGGGGCAGGCUCAGGAAAACUAGAUGAGGAGUCCCUGUUCAUUAGAGAAGUCGAAACUUGCAGACAAAACGUGCGAGUACCGGAGCCUGUCUUACUGCUGCUGUUUUUUGGAGAGAAUGUUUUGAAGAGCAGUAGGAUUUGGGGGUAAGCAAGACUGAUGCUGUGCUUGGAGUGCAGGUUGGAACUCGUGAGCUGAACAUAUUGUUGGUUGUGCUGUGGUAUUUGUGGGAAAUUGGGGUGGAGGGAGCCUCUGAGAUCAGCCAGAUCAAUCCCCUGCUUCUAGUAUAUUUCUAUCUAUUCGUGAUGCAUUUGCCUAACCUGUUUUGUAAACAUCAGUGAUAAUCCUAGUUUGUGUGUUCAAGUGCCAAAUUUACUGUUAGGAAGACUGACUUAACACCUCCCUCUAAAAUUUCCUUCUCUUUAUUUUGGGCUAUUGCUUUUUAUUCUAAGAGUGGUCUCUGAAUUCUGAAAUCUUAGCCAAACUGCUAUGACUGGGCAAUGUGAACGUACCUUUUUAAAAAUAUUUCUAGCACUUGCUGAUUUUGCUUAUGUAAAAAAAAAAUUCUAAAGCUUUUCCAAAGUACUCUAGAGUUUCUGCUUCUGGUUGUAGAGUAACCCGGGAAGUGAAUCAAGACCUAAAAACGGAAUGUGCUAGACGAGCAUCAGAACAAGCCAUAAAAGUGCAUUAUCUGUUUAUAAAUGAAAUAAGUCAGUCAAAUUAAAAGAUAUUCUGAUUCUAUUUAUAAAUUUCAAACAAAGAUCAGACUGCUUAUCUACAUAGGCAUCUGUUUCUAAUAUAAUACUGUGUGCAGUCCUCCAUCUGUGGAAGGAUUGAAGUGUUUAACGUGUGAUCCCAUUUAUUUUACAAUCAUGUCAAUCUGCUACCUUCUGUGGACUUAAUUUUAUUGUAACCUGUUGUGAAUUAGUUCACAUCCGACAUCGGAGGCUUAUGGGUGUAGCUGCUCCUGGUCUGCUUGUGCUCGAGGUCAAAGGUAGAUCUGCUAACUGGAACCCGAUGGCUGUGUGUGAAGGGACCCAGGUAUAUUGUUUUCACCCAAAUGCUGUAGUGUCUAUUUGCAUAAAAGGUUAAUGGAUAGCAGAAUGUUAUUUACGUUACGUAAAUUAUUGUGUUAUUUCUAAAUUGCACAAUAAAAAUAAUGGAAAAUGUCCUUUAUCUGUAGACAUUGAUAACUAACUGGAAGGCAGGACUGCAACUAGUGAGAAGCAACCUUUAUAUGUAACUUGAUAACAAAAUAUUAAAAAUACAUUGUGGAUAAGACUGUGACUGGCUUAGUAAAGCCCAGUCAAGUGUAAAUUUAGUAACUCUAUCUUUGUGGGUUUUCAACGGUUCAAAAAUCCCUCUAUAUUGUAGGAACUGGUAGGAGUUUGGAUGUGUUUUUUUGAGUUUUAUUGGGGGAUUUUAGUUUGCAGUAUUAGUUUGCAAAACAAACAAAUGAACAAAAACCCCUCUAAAAUAAUCAGUGUACCGAGUCUCAUUAUACUGAAUGUGAGUCAUUAUACUGAUAAUCACCUCAUCAGAUUUAUUGCAAUUAUAAUAAUAAUAUUGGAAUCGUGAUUCCAGUUGGAACAUUUUUUCCCAGCCGCUUGUUCUGUUGCAGCUGGAGCCAUGACCUCAGCUCGGGUGGAUGUUCCCAGGGUAGUUGUAAGUCAGGUGGCAAUUAACCAUGACAAGCACAGGGCCCUGGCACUGCCCUCUGAGCCAGCCAGCUCAUCGCUAACCGGGGUCCACGUAUACGAAGCCUCAUCUUGGGUACAGUGAAGACACGCUAUCGCGAUGGCAUACGCACCGUGGGCAGCGUGGAAGGUCAGGGUAAGUGACCAGAAGCCAUAAGAAACAGUAUUUCCAGCCUUAAAAUUGUAAUAAUGUCUGUAGUAGUGGCAACAGCCUCUUGUUGAGGAAUUCUCUAGCAUAGAAGUCCCUUGAGGCAAAGCUCACCUUUUCCUUUGGUGUUUACAUGAUUCCUUGCCCAGCAGGGGACUUUGCUGGUGGCUGACCACUCCAGCCUUCUGCUUCCCAUUAGUUUGCUUGGUUGCUUCUGCGUGCAGCUGUGCAGCAGUCUUUGUACCUGUUGCAUCCCCGUUCUUGAGAAAGCUACACUUAGUAGCUUUCUCAAGUAUGCAUGCGCAUAAGGAUGCACACAACUUAUCAGCUUCCUAGGUGAAAGAGUUCUUUAGGUUCUAAUGUGCUAUGCCAGAGGACAUGGAGUGGUCACCCGCCAAUAAGAUCUCUUCAGCAAAUAGGUUGAUUUGACCAAACUAGCAACGUCUGAAAAUCAACUAAGUUUUUACUGUAUUUUUUUUCUGCAAUGAUAAUGCAGAUGAGGAAGGAUUGAUAUAUACGUGUCAGUUGAAACACUGAUCCAUAAUAAGGAUUUUUUUUUUUUCAUAAUUGUAAGAAAUUGUCACAAAAAAUCACUGAAGUUCACUAUCUGGAGU